GGUUCUUGGACCUCACGCAAGAAAGAAUUCAAGCAUGCCAGAAACUAUACAAUCCACCCCCUCUGAAGGAGUUUGUUCAUUUAAAAAAAAAAAAAGGAUCACAGUCUGGAAGUCUGCUCACAGUCUCAAGGUUGGCAUAUCCCCUAGAGCCCCCAGACUCCUCAUCCCAUGGAGACCAACAUGGCCAGGGGAGGGCCAGAGCAGGGCCUUCUAAAUCACAGACCCCAGGGCAGGAGCCCCUCCGGUCUGGAUCUAAGGAUGGUAUUUUCAACAAUUCCUAAAUUUUUAUCCUAGGCUCUCCAAAUGGGAGUCUAAAGGUCUCAAAACAUGGUCCAGAAGAAGUAUGCAAAAAUGUAAAUUCCUAGGCCCCAACCCAGACCUAUGAAUCAGAUGAUCUGUAUGGGGGUUCAAGGAAUCUAUAUUAUUAAACAAUCUUCCUAAAUGACUUGUAUUCAUACUA
rnacentral:lncRNA from 1 species